UGGGAGAGGAAGCGGUGUGGUUUCUGCAUCGAGAUACAAGUUAACGCUGGAAGUCCUGAAUUAAAGGGGGCGCUUUUUAAAAGUACCGACAAGGGUGUAACUGGCAAACAUUUUGUAGGAACAGCAGAAGCCCACAGGAGCAGGCAGCAGGGUGCAGUCCACAGGCAGAGAGGACGAGGUAUAGGGGCAACAGUAGCCAAGGCCUAGCCAAACGCACCCGUAUCUAACCCGCCUACAUGUUUUUUCUGGGCUGAACUGAACUCGUCUUUGGCUCGGAAAUAAAAAUGAAAUUAGGAAAGAAAAAAAUAACGGACAAGCAGUUUCUCAAAGAAGGAAAUAGAAGAGACCUCAAAAGAAGCUUGGAAAUUAUGACACCGCCCCCUAGCUGUUCACGCCUAUGGAGAACCUGUUUAUUGCUUAAUUCAUCCUGUGGUGGACAGGAGGGACAAAUGGGCCAGACAACAGACUCCCAGACAAGCCCUCGCACAACCACUUUCCUAAGCAUGAAGCCCUCCAGACGAUGAGGUUCGGACCUGCAUCAAAUAAUCUUAGAAACAAAGCCUCUGGUCUGUUGACCACAGAGACACGCCCCCCCAUCCCUCAGGCAAUCCCCCGCCACCUUGUUCCUGUCCACGGUCGUGCAGCUUUUGUUCCAGGAACUGAAGGCAUGACCCACCCUGACUCCAGGAGACCAUAAGCAGUUCCACCUUUGUUCCUCAGAAGGACUGCAAGCAACUCAGGAUGACAUCUGAGCCACUGUACUCCAGGGUGAGAGAUCGCUGCCCAGGACACAGCUACAGACCACCCCCAGGACAAGAACGCUGAAGUCAUUUUUUUUUAAUCCAAUUGACUUUUUCCAGAAUUUCAAAGCCCCUCACCACACCUUGUUUAUUCCGUGCUAUAAAAACCUUGGCCUGGAAAGAAAAGACAA